rnacentral:rRNA from 1 species
UACAGAGGUGGCAAGCGUUGUUCGGAAUUACUGGGCGUAAAGGGCGCGUAGGCGGCCUUGUCAGUCAGACGUGAAAUCCCCAGGCUUAACCUGGGAACUGCGUCUGAUACUACAAGGCUGGAGUUCGGGAGAGGAAUGUGGAAUUCCAGGUGUAGCGGUGAAAUGCGUAGAGUAUCUGGAGGAACACCGGUGGCGAAGGCGGGUCUCUGGGCCGUAACUGACGCUGAGGAGCGAAAGCGUGGGGAGCGAACAGG